rnacentral:rRNA from 1 species
GACGAACCGAGCGAACGUUAUUCGGAAUCACUGGGCUUAAAGGGCGCGUAGGCGGGCCGCCAAGUCAGGGGUGAAAGCCCCCAGCUCAACUGGGGAAGUGCCUUUGAUACUGGCGGUCUCGAGGGGGAUAGGGGCGUGCGGAACUUCCGGUGGAGCGGUGAAAUGCGUAGAUAUCGGAAGGAACACCGGUGGCGAAAGCGGCGCGCUGGAUCCCUUCUGACGCUGAGGCGCGAAAGCCAGGGGAGCAAACGGG